GGGCCUGCUCGGUGAUUAAUAUUUAACAGCUGCGGUAUUAUAACUGUACUAAGGUAGCAUAAUAAUUUGCCUUAUAAAUUGAGGCUAGAAUGAAUGGUUUGACGAAAAUUAUACUGUCUCUGUCUUAUUUAUUAGAAGUUAAUUUUUAUAGUGAGAAAGCUUGGAUAAUUUAAAGGGACGAAAAGACCCUAUUGAGCUUUAUAUUAUACUUUAAAAUUAUUUAUUGUUUUUAUUUAAAUAUAAUUUUGGUUGGGGUGAUCAAGGAAUAAAUAAUUAAUUUUAACUUCCUUAAUUUGUUUAUAGUUAUAUGAAUAAACCAAAUUUUUUGCUUAGAAGAUAAGUUACCAUAGGGAUAACAGCGUAAUUUUUUUUGAAAGUUCAUAUUG
rnacentral:rRNA from 1 species